UUGGUCAUUUAGAGGAAGUAAAAGUCGUAACAAGGUUUCCGUAGGUGAACCUGCGGAAGGAUCAUUACAGAGCGUGAGACUUGGCCCGGGCGUGUCCCGCGUGUCGAGUCGACCCUCCACCCGUGUUGACUUUAUCUGUUGCUUUGGCGGGCCCGGUGCCUAGCGCCGACCGGCUUCGUGCUGGCUCGCGUCCGCCAAAGACCCAACCUAACUCGUGUUGUCGUGUAGUCUGAGGAAGGAAGAUAGAAUUGUUAAAACUUUCAACAACGGAUCUCUUGGCUCUGGCAUCGAUGAAGAACGCAGCGAAAUGCGAUAAGUAAUGUGAAUUGCAGAAUUUAGUGAAUCAUCGAAUCUUUGAACGCACAUUGCGCCCCUUGGUAUUCCGAGGGGCAUGCCUGUCGAGCGUCGUCACACCCCCUCAAGCCCCCGUGUGUGUGGUUGGGUUGGGGCUCGUCCGUCGGGCGGCCCUUAAAGACAGUGGCGGU
rnacentral:misc_RNA from 1 species